rnacentral:lncRNA from 1 species
AGGGAAUUGUCAACAAAGGGACGAGGGACGCGCAACUCAGCGCCGCACGGUGCGCCUGCAUCCCGAGGGCUCCGAGGGCGUCCUGGCCCACCCUGGACCCCAGCCUAGGCUGGAGCCUUGCUCAGGGGUCGAGGGAGCCUGUGGGUGUGAGUGCUGGAGGGUGGUUGUGAGCGCGUGAGGGCGUGGGCCUGGGAGCGUCCGCGGGACCCUGCGGUUCUCGCUGCCCUGCCCUCCCUGCCCCCUCUCCCUUCCCCCUUCCCCACUUUGCCAACACUCCUUAGGCUGGGACUGGGCAACACCGAACGAGAUUCUCAUCCCCCCCCUUUUUUUUUAAAGGAAAAACUUAGUAGCCUCCGUUUUGUUUUUGGGGUUUGAUUCUUUUUAGCUCUUGAGUAAGGGCUGAGCAUUCGGCUCCGUGUUGCUAAUUAGACUUCAGAUCCCCUUUCCCCUUCUGUCUCGGUGCUCUUUCGGCGGAGACAAUUAGUGAGGUGACGCGUUCCCUUUCCCCUCAAAGCCAAACCACCUGGGUCCUGCCUUUGCUUUCCCCGCUAGAUGUGAGCGUGCUUUUAUAUAUAUAUAUAUAUAUAUAAAUUUUUUCCCCGCGCGGCCACAACAGCGUCAGCUGGGGUUCCCGAAGGUCAGAAAAUAGUUAUUGAUUAAUCUAUUAGAAUAGUUGCCGAGAGAAAUAAAAACGACGUAAAAUAACAGCGAACCUAUAAAUAAAGAGGCUGUAACUAGCAGCUGGGAGUUGUUACACGACUUAGCAAGUGAAAAAGUCGGAAAUGAGGCGCUGGGGAAGGAGCCGGGACUGGCAGCGGCCUGGGUAAGUCGAGUGGAGCGAAGUAGAGGAUUCCGGGCCUCCAGUUUGGACGCCGCGCUCGGGCUGGGACGCCGGGAGCUGGCGGUGUGACUUUACCGGGCGGCGGGGCCCAGCCUCUUGGGAAUGGGGGGCGGCCUCGAGCAUGCGGGUGGGCUAGGCUCUCAGUUGCUGCUAACUCACGUGGAUUCUUUCCUCUUAAGGCUUAGGUAAAUCCUCCAAGAUUUGACUUCCCGCGGAAACCAGUAGCAGAGCGGGUGGAGGAGGCGAGGAUGCGGCUGGUACACACCGAGUUUCCUUGGCAAGGAAAAUCGAUGGUAGGAAAGGCUGUGGGGAUUUAACUGGGGUUGAGGGUGGAGGCUCGCAAAACCACCACCGGUGCGUGGCAUUGCCAGUGCGUGCGCUUGGACCUCGCACCUCGGGAUAGUGCUCCUGACCUGCUGAGUCCGCGACGCGCCACCUCUCCUUCCGAAGUUUUAGGCCGCCUCACAGCGAGCUGCAAGAGCGGGCCGGCCGUGGCGGGCUCCUUGAACCCAAGUCCUGUCUGUCCGCUAAGUCCUGGGAGGAGAAUUUUGGCCUCACCAGAGGAAGGAGCACAAGGGGAGCGAGCGGUCCGAGAGGAAAUAGUUGGUGAAAUAUUUACAGAAGACGCUGGGAAACCGAUUUAAUUCCUGGUGGACAGUGGUGCUUCUGAUUCCCUCAGUCUGUGUCUCUCACCUACGACGCUCUCAAUCCUUGGCCUAGAAAAAAAAUCCGUAAACUUACUUCAUUAUA